UAACAGCCUGUCAAUACAGGUAUGUGAUAUGAAAUCUUUUUACCGGUCAUAUAGAAGAAUGAAUUUCAUUUUUCGAAAUACAUAAACAAUAUCAUGCUUAAGUCUGUACAGAAGCCAUGGUUUUGUUAUGUGUGUGUGUGUGUGUGUGUUGUUGUUGAUGAAUGUGCGCGGUUCAUCAUCUCUUUCAUCUACGAGGUGUCGCCACUUGAAUUAAGCACCACUAGUCUGACUGAUUGAGAAUGACACCACAACAAUAGCUCAGAUUCUGUGGCAGAUAUUUUUUUUAAGCUAUAGAUCAAAUCAGAAAACAUCCAUGGACUUUGUAACGGUUGAUACAGAGACACAACACCUAUUCCCAUCCCGGUGCUUUCCAGUUGUACUCUUUCCCAAACUGUUUCAUAUGCGAGUUAAUUUUAAUUUUGCUCUUCAUUUCAGGUUUACUCAUCAUGGGCUGUGUGAUAUAAUAGUGAAAGGCGAUCGAGCGCUUCACACAUAUACUUAAAAAAUUCACACGUUUUGACCAUUUUCAUCAACACAAAUAUAAUGGGUGUGCUAGCCGCUAUACGCACUGCUCGAUCUCCUCUUCUGAUCUCUAUGAUGCAUGCAUGCUUCCCCGUGAUCUUAGCGACUUAUAUAUUUAAAGUACUGGAAUAUUCUGUCUGAUAAUAUCGGAUAGCUAAUUCUGGUAUUCCAGAGUGAAGCAUGAUAGAAUAAGUAAUUAUAAAUGGGUUCAGAUGGGUCAUGGGUGAAAUAAAAGUGGUGGUGGUUGUUUGCAGCGGCUAGCUAGAAGAUGCUUGUUCAUUCAUGCGCAUGCAUUGAUGUGAGAUUAAUUAUAGUCAUGUAUUUAUAGGCACAAAAAAUAGAUGCAGGUUUGAUGGGUGUUGGGAUCAUGUGCGGACUGGGAAGAAGCAGACACGAAAGGUGAGCAGUGGAGGCGCGCAGGUUAAGUGGUGGUGGCAGCGGGAGAUGAUUCCGUGGUGGGAGCAGGGAGACACGUGGCAGAGAGGCGGGAGAGCCGUGAUGACGCAUCGCAGACCAGGAAGGCACGGUGGGCUCAUGCACGGCACGACGCGCAAGAAUGAGCUAUUGGGCGACGUCAAGUCAGGGGGAACACACAGAAACAGGGCGUCACGUGAAUUCCACGCCCGCCCGAUCAACAACUCACUUUGUUGGGUCAAUUUUUGAAUUUUCAAAAUUUUUCUCAACGCAGGUAACAAAAUCAUCCUGCUGCCCCUGAAAAUAGCGGUUCAUGCACCACAGAAAUUGAGGAGGGAAUAAAAGAUAUGUACAUAGUCAUAGAUGCCCCCCUUGCGGGUCCCGCGAGAUAUAGCCAAAUCCCUUACCGGGUCAGGAAGGGUCCAAGUGGUCAUCGCCCAUGCUCCGUGUCUUCUCCUCUGGCCCCACCCCCCAUUCCUGUUAUUAUUGUUAACAAACAUGUAUGGAAUGGAGGCGAGAGUUCACAAGUUUAGGAUUACUAACGAUUGACGAUGGCCUUGUCUGUUGCCUCGGCCAAAGGCUGAUUAAUUGAUUUAAUCAUGAAUGGGGGAUUAGGAUUAUGCGUUGCUGUGUUUUUACAGGACAGGCAGACAUCCAUUUCCCUCGCUCAUUAUCUCAUUCACUCAAAUCUAAUCUCUUUCUUAAUUAA